CUAGGAUGGGUGACCUCC
rnacentral:snRNA from 1 species